UCCCAAGUAAGCAGAUCUGCUUCUUCUUAGCCUAAAUAGUUGAUUUAAGCCAUCUAUAGACUAGCUAUUGGUAUGGAAUUAUGCUGGAAGAUGAAAGAAUAACAGUUUUCAUUCUGGACUUUAAUUCUUUUUUUGAUUGGUAGAAAUCUUAAUUUCCUUGUGAUUUUUUUCUUAGGAAUGGCAAUUCAGAGUGUAAUAAAUUCAUUAUGAACUAACCCAUCAUUGGAGAGCUUGUACUCAGGGCUGUGUAUGCAUAUGGCAACAAAUGCCUGCUCAGUGCAUUUUCACAGUUGCUGUUGCUUUGUUAAUAAAGUUAACUUAAACAGAUUAACUAGCAAACAACAUAAGACCUAACAAAAAAUGUUAAACAAAGAAGCCUUCAGGAUAUGUUUUUCAAUUUUCUUCUCAGUGGUUUGAAAUACCUGGAUCUGCCUGUGGAUGAGUGGUGUGCCUUUGAAUUUCCUUCAGAGAAGGGUUUAGCUCCACUGUUCUUAGAGUUUGUUUGCAUUACAACAAUUAUCCCUGGGGAGCUGGUGGAAAACCUCUCUGCUCCUCUAAGACAAGAUGAAAUGCUUACAGCUGACUCAGAGGAAGGAGGGAAAGCAAGUAAAACAGAGCUUCCUGCCAAUCAUGUUACCUCUUUAAGAUGGAGUUGGAAGAAACAGAGCUCAUCUGAUGUGUCCAAUACCUAAAGAAGCAUCAGCUUCUUUCAGCUCUAUUGAGCAGCCAGUCACUUACCUGGAAGCUGGAAAUGGAUCUGGCCCCUGCCUGGUUUUGACUGACAAUAAGCAGCAGAAGGAAUCCAGGGCAAAAAAGAAGUUUCAGAUUCAUGUUUGGUGUCUGAUUCCUCUUUCCUUGAGUCUCUCCAGUUCAAUGUUGCUUUGUCUCCAGCUAUCAGCAUUUAUAUCUUCCUCCAACCCCUCCCAAAUCUACCUUUUGAGUUCCUGCUAGUGCAAGGAUUGGUUUGAGGUUUUGAUCUGGUUUCAUCCACCCAGGAGGAGGAGGGAAGAAAUAGUUCUCUCUUCUGGUGGUGAAUUAAAGGAGCAUUUUCCACUUAGGCAAUGCAGCAUCAUUCUCCUGUCUUGGUGCCACUGAUGUACAUGAGUGAGCACAGCUCAAGGUUCCUUGGGCUGACUGCUGACCCUUUCUUUUUCAUCAAAGAAAAAUAACUGUGAGAGAGCUAUGAAGUGAGAAAGGAAGUGAAUGGUGUUCCCAACACAUUCACCUGGCUCCUUUGUCUGUGAACUCCAUACCAGAGGGAUGGGUGAGAAAACAUGCUGUGUAAGAACUGUUAUCACACAAUAAUGCUAUCAUAACCUAAUGAUAUAACUUAUUAAUGUGAUGCUGUUGACUUAAGAGAUAAAAGAGUGUGAUUUGGAGGAGAAGGGGAAAACCAAGUAUUGCAAGUGCAAGUUGCAGUGGUUAUUGGCCUGAAUGACAGUGAGUGUGGCCAAAACCAAGCUGACAUGCACAGACAGCUUCUACAAGGCUUGAGUUGAGGAAGAAAUUCCUCUUUCCCUGGAUCCAGCUUAAAAUAGUUCCUUUAUGUGAUCUUUCUCAGUCUGUUGUACACAAUUUCUAUUAAAUCUGCAAUCAGUCUGAAAGGAAGAGCAGGCUUGAAAUUUGGCUUCACUGGAAAAUUGAAAUGCAAUAAUACUUCUUGCCCUUUCAUGGCAUUUUUGCACACAUGUGAUGCACAGAGUUAAAGGCCAUCAAGCUGGAUCUACACAGGGAAAUGGAAAUUAAAGACCAUCUGGUAUUUUUCAUCUGAUAUUUGAGUUACUGAAAGCUUGCAAACCAAUUUUCAGUAUCAACUUGUUGAUCCUGGAAGCUUGGAAAAAAUAAUUCUGUGAUGUGGCAGCAGGUUUAAUGUUUUCAAUGUUUUUUAUGUGCAGAUCAGUUUGAGGUAUCAUUUUAAGGGUCUCUAGAAAUGGGUGUUGUAAGGAGACAGCUCAGAAACAUCCCUCUGUGACAGAAAAAGAAGUUUCAUGUUAUUGUAUUGUUGGGGUUUUUUUGUUGGUGAUGUUGGUGAAAACCACAUUUGAUAUGAAUCUUAUUAGUAAAUGAAAUCAUCAUCCCAGAGGUUUGAGGUGUGUACUCAAGGUAACAACACAGUAAGAAAAGGUCAGGGCAGUUUCAGGUUCAUCUUUUCUCCAGGAUUGUUUUGUUGCUUUGAUUGGCUUCUCACAGGUCUGCAUAAAGUGGAUAAUAAAUCUUCUGGACCUUGAGAUCUCUGAAGUCAUUUUGGGGUUCUGCAGAAUUGUCUCUCUGGAUACUGUUGGACAUUCAUGCACUAGUGCAGUCCUCAUCUAUGACUCUGUUGGUAAAAGAAUAAUUAAGGCUGGACAGAACUUCUAGGAGUCUCUGGUGCAAUCUUGUGCUAAAGCAGAGCCAACUUCGAUGAAAUUUCUCAAUGCCUUGUCAAGGUGAAUUUGAAAACCUUCAAGAAACAAUGAUGUACUAAAAUCUACUUGGAAUUUUCCCAUUGCCAUUUGUGUCAUUGCCUCUCAUCCUAAUGCCUUGCAGCUGGAUGCUGUCCAUAAGCACAAGUGAAGGAUGUUCCAUCUCCCCAAACAAUGACAUUCCAUGGGAUUGUAUUUCAGAGAGAGCUCCAUAACCCACACAGCAAGGGCAGCUUCAGCCCAGGUAACCCCCAGCAGGGUUCAGAUCAGAUUUGGUGCCGUGGCAAGUAGCUGGAAACAGAAAGCAUUCCAGCAAAUGUCUCUGCUUUACAUUCCAGGUUUUCUCAGGGCUCAGAUGAGCAUCAAACUCAGGGUCUGAAUGUUCACAGAGAUUUAUCAUUGGGGUGGUGCAGCUAGGAUGGAGACUUCAGGAGGAACCCCUGAGGCCAGCAGGAAAUAUUUUAGAGUUAGGAAAUGGCUUUGUGUCCCUUUUUGAAGUGCUUCUUUGUAAGACAAGUCUUUCAUAUAGGGUGGAAGGAAGCAGGUUGAUGUGUGUUGCUCAUCUCCAACAACAAGUUGUUUACCAGAUUCCUGAGGUAUUUCUCCUGUAUCAUCAGAAAUCUGAUUAAAGAGCAAGAUUAAGGCAAACUAUUCCUCUGGUGUGGAGGUCCCAGCUGUGGGUGUCUCUGGCUCUGGACUGAAGGCACUCAGACAGCAGUUCAUGUUCACACUCAGGUGUUUAUUAUUCCUUAUCAGUCAAACAGCCUCACUGCUGGGAGCUCAGCAGCUUUUCAUUACAAGGCACAAAAUGCCCAACAAUCUCUUGGUCCAAGGGCUUGUGAGACUGAACUGUCCAAUGAAGAGCUGACACCUGGAUUAUUUUCCCUUUUAACCCAAGAACUGAUCCCACAGAGCUGCAGUGCAGACUUUUCUGCCCAAUUCCAAAAUGCCACCCAAACCCAUGGAGGAGGAGGAAGAAGAAGCAUGAAGAAGAAACCCAGGACAGCACCCUGUGCCCUCCACCUUGCUGCCAUCCACAACAUCCUAAAAACCCCAAACCCUCAAUUUCUCACCCAGUGACACACCUGCACUGCUCUCUAGAAUCUAUUGCACACUUUUGUGGGUUCCAGUCUCUCCUGAAGUCUGGGAAACUUUCUCCAUGGAUGAGGGUCAGAGUCAGUGCUGCCCUGGGGGUCAGGGCACCCCAGAGCAGACACUGAAAUAUUCCUGUGCCCUGGGUUUCCACACUCUGGGGAUAUACCUGCCUCAUCCCAUGAGGAAGCUGAGCACUGAAGUUGGUAGCACACCUACUAGGCUUGGUAAGGCAUCAUUAGGGCACUGCUGCAGUAACUCAUCUUCCUCCUUCCAAGCACACUGACCCCUUUAGCCUCCCUCUCCUUCCCAGCUGCUCAGGCCAAGAUUCCCUGGCUGGCUGAAAGGGCAGUGAUGUUUCUGCAGCACUUUCAUCACAGUGGGAUCACUGAGUCUGUGAGGGAAGCUGGCACCAGGGGCCCCUCACUGAGACAUUAACAUUUAGCUGCAAUCUCCAAGCAUUUUCCUGGUGUCCCCCUGCCUCCCCUCCCUGAGUGGGCUGGAGCUGGGCUGGCAGGCUCAGUGUACAGCAUCAACACCAUGAAUGGUUGUUUAUUUAAACAUUUAAUUUAUUAAAAGUUUCAAAUGGAUGGUUGAGUUCAGCGCUAAAUAUGUUGAUCUGGACAUUUUUGCUUCCCCAUGAUCUUUAAGUUGGAUCUCAGAAAUUCAUAGGUUGAUCUUGCACCAAACUGCUCAGAAUCCAAGUUCUUCAUUCUCUGUGUUUUAUGAGACAUCUGUGGUGUUUGGACUGAGGUCUAAUUUGUCUGUGUUAUUGCCUCACUGGAGCAAGGCUGAACUUGCGGUGGGAGCAGCUGCAGGCAGGAAAGUUGUGGCAUUGACUGCACUUCCUAACUUCUCUCAUGUCAUGUCCAUGCUGACCACAAAGGUCAGCAUGGACAUGACACAUCCCCGGCUGCUCUGAGCUGGGACAUUUAGCCAGGUCCCUCCUGUGAGAUCCCAUCUGGGCUCUUCGUUUGGUUACUGAGGUGUGUGGUGACCUCUCCUGGUGAGUGGAGAACGUGCCUCAAGACCCAGAGCAACUUCUGCUAAAACCGGAGCAAAUAAUAGAGCAGCCAUUGAGAGCCUUCAAUAAAAUUAUUUCUUCAUCAUCAAAAGCAUGGUGCAUGCACUGCAACAAGGUUCUGAGUGUCUCUUUUUCAGGGUUUAGUGGUGGAAGUGUGUGUGAGUGGUCAUGUCUUGGGAAGGCUCUUGUUAUGUCUGUGGUGAAUUGUUGUUUAUUUAAACAUUAAAUUUAUGAAAAGUUCCAGUGUCACACGGGUGGCUGAGGUCAACCCUGGAUAUGUUGAUCUGGACUCUCAUAAUGGAUUUUGCAGAAUGUAAGUUUGUGUAGGAAGAGAUGGGCGUGUAGGGAGGAUGUUUCUUAAACAUUUUGUCUGGGAUAACACUUGCCAGGUAUUUCUUUGCAGCUCAGCUCAUCCUGGCAUAGCUGGGAACAGUGUCACCAGUGCCCAUUGACCAAGGUUUGCUUGCCAAGCAGCCAAAUCAAGGGGCAAGAGGUCACACUAUCCCAUUGUGCUAUUUAUUGCUGCAUGCCAUUUGUCAGUGUGGAGCUUGCAGAAGGUGAAGCCAUUUCUAGAAAUGGCUAAACAGCCACAGGAAUGAAAUGGCACCUCUCCUAGAAGUUGCAGUGGUUGUUUACUUCCCUUCUCUCUCCCCUCACAGACUGGUGAUGAACCUAAAAAUAACCUAACUAACUAAAAAUGUAAUCAUUACAUAAAUCCUGUCCUCCACAAAGCCCUCAGCAGAUUUUCUUUAGCCUGUGAGAGUGGCACUGUACAUAACCUAAAUUUUGUAUUCCCAGAGCAGGAUCUCAAUUGUCCAUUAGAUUUGACAUAUCUCAGAUUUGUGGAUUGUGCUUAACUAGAGAGUGGUGUAGGCCAGUCCCUGUGUUUUGAGAAUAGGGAGGUAAGCUACCCUGAUUUUUGUCUGGGAUUCCUGCAUGUGUUCUUCUUCUUCCUGCUAACAUUUAUGGUCCUUUUCAUCAAUGCUUCUCAUCAGUUCAGGUACAACUGCACACUGCAUGUACCUGUUGCCCUGCUCUUCUAAAGUUCUUCUGAGCCUUCUGAUGUUUACAUUUUUGUAAUGGAGCCUCUCACACACUUUUCAUGUAAAUAAUGAUUGUUUUACAUUCCUUUUUGGAGGAGGAGAGAAUUGAUAGACUGUUGGUUUGACCAGUGUGGCUGGAGAGGUGGCAAUUUCAUCCUCCAAUCCAUGGUCACUUUUGAAAGUCUAUAAAUAUUGGAGUUUGGA